rnacentral:rRNA from 1 species
AUGCAAGUCGAGCGAGAAAGUGGAGCAAUCCAUGAGUACAGCGGCGUACGGGUGAGUAACACGUGGGUGAUCUACCUCUUAGUGGGGAAUAACCCUGGGAAACCGGGGCUAAUACCGCAUAAUCCUGUGAAGGGAAAGCAGCAAUGCGCUGAGAGAGGAGCCCGCGGCCGAUUAGCUAGUUGGUGAGGUAACGGCCCACCAAGGCGACGAUCGGUAGCCGGCCUGAGAGGGCACACGGCCACACUGGCACUGAAACACGGGCCAGACUCCUACGGGAGGCAGCAGUGGGGAAUCUUGCACAAUGGAGGCAACUCUGAUGCAGCGACGCCGCGUGAGCGAUGAAGCCCUUCGGGGUGUAAAGCUCUUUCGGCAGGGACGAUAAUGACGGUACCUGAAGAAGAAGCUGCGGCUAACUACGUGCC